CCUACGGGAGACUGCAGUGGGGAAUAUUGCGCAAUGGGCGAAAGCCUGACGCAGCGACGCCGCGUGAGGGAUGAAGGUCUUCGGAUCGUAAACCUCUGUCAGCAGGGAAGAACGUUCACUGUGUUAAUCAGCAGUGAAUUGACGGUACCUGCAAAGGAAGCACCGGCUAACUCCGUGCCAGCAGCCGCGGUAAUACGGAGGGUGCGAGCGUUAAUCGGAAUUACUGGGCGUAAAGCGCUCGUAGGCGGUAUGUCAAGUCAAGGGUGAAAUCCCCGCGCUCAACGUGGGAACUGCCUGUGAAACUGGCAAACUGGAGUGUGGGAGAGGAUAGUGGAAUUCCAGGUGUAGGGGUGAAAUGCGUAGAUAUCUGGAGGAACAUCGGUGGCGAAGGCGACUAUCUGGCACAUAACUGACGCUGAGGAGCGAAAGCGUGGGUAGCAAACAGGAUUAGAUACCCGGGUAGUC
rnacentral:rRNA from 1 species